rnacentral:lncRNA from 10 species
GCUGGUAUAAGUGGCUGGUUCUUUCCAUCCCUUUCCAUCUAUAAAUAAUAUAGUAAUAUAGUAAAUAUAUUUAAUAUAGUAAAUAUAAUAAAUACAAUAAUACAGUAAUAUGGUAAAUAUAAUAAUAUAGUACAUAUAUCAGUCUAUAUUUAGUAUAUUAUGAAUUCUACCUAUGUCUCACAAGCUACUCGCUUACUCAUUAUCUGUGCUUAGCACAUCCUAUGGGAUUAAUCCACCUCAUUCUGUGCUCUACUACAGAACUGAACUUUCUCAAUUAAUAGAGCAAACUCAUGUUACACUAAUCAACCUUUAAAUAUUUUCUCAUGUAUGCAGUUAAAUGUAUUGACAUUACUUGUAACAUUUUUGUAUUAUCUUAUUCUAUUUACCUUGUCAUUUCUCACUUUCCUUACAGUUUUUGUCAUUUUGAAGAAACCAACAGGGAUGUUUGGUGCAAAUUCCCAAAAUAAUUCAAUCCAAUUCAAUUCUCCACAUUUCCAUUUGACAUUGAUAUACAGGCUGUGAAAUAUACCUCUUCUUACUUUACGUUCCAGAAAAUCAAGCCUUUAAAAUUAUUUUUACAUGGCUGGGUGCGGUGGCUCACACCUAUAAUCCCAGCACUUUGGGAGGCUGAGGCGGGCAGAUCACCUGAGGU